GAGGGAGGAAGGAAGGGGACAGUAUUAGGGAAAGGUCAGGGGAGAGACCCAGAGAGAAGGAAGAAAGCUGUAUUUACUGGCCAUUUUGACAAACACUGAUCAAGAAUAUCCUGCAUGCACGAUCCUUUGCUAGCUAUCAUAAGAGAUACAAAGACGCAGAGAAUGAAGUGAACCAGCAGAAGGAAUCAUCUGCAUAAUUGAUGCUGACUUACCUCUUCAAGCUCCCAAACUUAAAAAGCAAACUCUAACCAGGUAUCAUGGAUCUCAGCUAUGAGGCUGACAGCCCCCUGGCUCCUCCUGUUGAACUUCUAGAACAACUGGCUCAUUAUGACUGGCCUUUUCAAGAU